rnacentral:lncRNA from 1 species
AUUUUACUUGAUUAAUAUCGGCUAGAAAACAUUUUAUUAUUUUGUUCAAAUGUUUAAUUUGAUGUAUAUUUCAGCAUAAAAAUUUAUUCUAUUUCAAAGUAAAUGUUGCCACUCAAAUAACUCUACUGGACUUUUAUAGUCUUCAUAUUUCCAAUAGCACCUAAUAUGAUAAAAGAAACAACGGACAAUAAAGGUAAAAUAAACUAUACAGGUUGCGUACAACUUUUAAUUUUUUUUUGUAGGUACAAUAUUCACAACAGUUUAAUAUGUAACCUGUAAUUAUUUAUUAUUAUUAUUAAGAAAAAAAUUACAGUUAUAGGUAAUAAUAAUAUGACAUAAGUUGUGUUGUCAUUAUGUUUGGUAUCGUUACAUUUUUGAUUACCUAUGGUGGUAGCAUGUUAACUGGCGACUGGCAUGUUUUAUUGUUUAAAGCUAUUAAGUCUAAUUAGUAUUAAUAUUAUUUAUGAAUAUUAGUGUAUUUAAAAUUAUGUAUUGUUUCAGAAUGUUGUCAAGUGAUAAAAAACUAAAACCAUUACAAAAAGCUGUACUCGCAAAACUAAUGGCAGCAAAAAAUUGAAUUUUCAGUGUGUUUGAAUUAAAGCAGAAAAAGGACCAACUUACUUCUAUUGUCAAAUUUGUAAAAACUAAUAUUUUAGGGUAUUGAUUGCUAUACAUAGGCAUUAUAUUUGGAUAAAAUACAUGAAAAAUAUGAAAUUACUCGAAAAUACUUUACAAAUUGAUAAAAUGCCUUAACUUGUAUCUUAGAAAAAUACAGAUAGACUUAAAAAAAGAAGCUGUCUAUGCUCAUCACCAAAUAUAAUAUUUAAUUUAAAACAUCAGAUCGUUUAGUUGUUAUCAUUUAGUAGUUAAAAGUAUUUGUCAUGAAUUUAAAGUCAAAGAAUAAUUAAUGUGCAAUCGAACAAAAGCUACUGUGAUUGUAAAUAACACUAUUAAACUUGAAUCAAUGGAUGACUCUUCAGUGAAACACUUGUAAUUAGUGUUAACUUAAUUGUUAUUGACUUUACAUUAAGAGUUUUACUGUAAGAGACAAAUUUGUUUAGUUCAUCUAAAAUAAGUUCUGCAAAAGUACAAUAUGCACUAUAUGGUAUAAUUAUACAUUUUUUUUUUUAAAUAUAAUUUUAUAUAAAGAAAACUUGGGUUUUUUUUUGAUGGAGUGAGAGAGCAAGUAUUGUAAGGACAACAUCAUUCAGUUAAAACUUUACUUGAAAAGAAUGUCAAAAAUUUAUUUGUAGUAAAAUGUGUUUGCCAUUUUAUUGGCACUUUGCGCCUCAUAAUAUGCUUGUAAUAAAUUACCAAAUGAUGUAGAGUAAUUAGUUAGAGAAGUCUAUAUUUAUUUUCUGUAGUUUACAGUUACAAAAAACAGAAAUAGUUCAGUGAAUUUCAAAUUCAGAUUGAUACUUAAUCCCAUAUAUUGUUAUAGGGCCCCAUUUAGGGUGCUAUUGUAAUUAUUUAUUUAUUUAUUUGUUUGUUUAUCUUCAUUGUCAUUAUUAUUAUUUUUAGACGAAUGUCAUGCGUUAAUAAAUAAAUUGGCAGCUCAAUACUCCAAUGAUCAAUGAUAAUAAUGCUAUUUUAAAAGAAUUUAUAUAAAAUGCUAUGAUGAAGUGCAAGUUUAAUUUUUCAAACUGCUUUCAGUAUAUUUAUAGGU